rnacentral:misc_RNA from 1 species
GGAUCAUUACAGAGUUAUCUAAACUCCCAAACCCAUGUGAACUUACCUAUGUUGCCUCGGCAGGAGCCUACCCGGUACUUACCCGGUAGCUACCCGGGAACUACCCGGUAAAUUACUACCCGGUAGUUGCUGGGUAGCCCUGUCAGAGGACCCUUUAAACUCUUGUUUUACUGUGGCACUCUGAGUAACCAAAAGUAAAUAAGUUAAAACUUUCAACAACGGAUCUCUUGGUUCUGGCAUCGAUGAAGAACGCAGCGAAAUGCGAUAAGUAAUGUGAAUUGCAGAAUUCAGUGAAUCAUCGAAUCUUUGAACGCACAUUGCGCCCACUAGUAUUCUGGUGGGCAUGCCUGUUCGAGCGUCAUUUCGACCCCUAAGCCUUAGUUGUUUAGCGUUGGGAGCUUGCAUCCUCGUGGUUUAGCCGCGACGCAACUCCUUAAAUUUUCGUGGCAGGGCUCGCGUCGCCUUAAAGUGUAGUAAUUUUCUUCUCACUUUUAGAAGGCGUUCGCGCGGCACAGCCAAGUGAAACAUAUAUAUAUAUAUCAAGUGGUUGACCUCGGAUCAGGUAGGAAUACCCGCUGAACUUAAGCAUAUCAAUAAGCGGAGGAAAAGAAACCAACAGGGAUUGCCCUAGUAACGGCGAGUGAAGCGGCAACAGCUCAAAUUUGAAAUCUGGCCCUCGGGUCCGAGUUGUAAUUUGUAGAGGAUGCUUUUGGUGCGGCGCCUUCCGAGUUCCCUGGAACGGGACGCCAUAGAGGGUGAGAGCCCCGUACGGUUGGAUGCCUAGCCUCUGUAAAGCUCCUUCGACGAGUCGAGUAGUUUGGGAAUGCUGCUCUAAAUGGGAGGUAAAUUUCUUCUAAAGCUAAAUACCGGCCAGAGACCGAUAGCGCACAAGUAGAGUGAUCGAAAGAUGAAAAGCACUUUGAAAAGAGGGUUAAAUAGCACGUGAAAUUGUUGAAAGGGAAGCACUUAUGACCAGACUUUUUCCUGGCGGAUCAUCCGGCGUUCUCGCCGGUGCACUUCGCCAGGUUUAGGCCAGCAUCGAUUUCUGUAGGGGGAUAAAGACUUCGGGAAAGUAGCUCUCUUCGGGGAGUGUUAUAGCCCGUCGUGUAAUACCCUU